GAUGAACGCUGGCGGCGUGCCUAAUACAUGCAAGUCGAGCGAACGGACGAGAAGCUUGCUUCUCUGAUGUUAGCGGCGGACGGGUGAGUAACACGUGGAUAACCUACCUAUAAGACUGGGAUAACUUCGGGAAACCGGAGCUAAUACCGGAUAAUAUUUUGAACCGCAUGGUUCAAAAGUGAAAGACGGUCUUGCUGUCACUUAUAGAUGGAUCCGCGCUGCAUUAGCUAGUUGGUAAGGUAACGGCUUACCAAGGCAACGAUGCAUAGCCGACCUGAGAGGGUGAUCGGCCACACUGGAACUGAGACACGGUCCAGACUCCUACGGGAGGCAGCAGUAGGGAAUCUUCCGCAAUGGGCGAAAGCCUGACGGAGCAACGCCGCGUGAGUGAUGAAGGUCUUCGGAUCGUAAAACUCUGUUAUUAGGGAAGAACAUAUGUGUAAGUAACUGUGCACAUCUUGACGGUACCUAAUCAGAAAGCCACGGCUAACUACGUGCCAGCAGCCGCGGUAAUACGUAGGUGGCAAGCGUUAUCCGGAAUUUAUGGGCGUAAGCGCGCGUAGCGGUUUUUUAAGUCUGAUGUGAAAGCCCACGGCUCAACCGUGGAGGGUCAUUGGAAACUGGAAAACUUGAGUGCAGAAGAGGAAAGUGGAAUUCCAUGUGUAGCGGUGAAAUGCGCAGAGAUAUGGAGGAACACCAGUGGCGAAGGCGACUUUCUGGUCUGUAACUGACGCUGAUGUGCGAAAGCGCGGGGAUCAAACAGGAUUAGAUACCCUGGUAGUCCACGCCGUAAACGAUGAGUGCUAAGUGUUAGGGGGUUUCCGCCCCUUAGUGCUGCAGCUAACGCAUUAAGCACUCCGCCUGGGGAGUACGACCGCAAGGUUGAAACUCAAAGGAAUUGACGGGGACCCGCACAAGCGGUGGAGCAUGUGGUUUAAUUCGAAGCAACGCGAAGAACCUUACCAAAUCUUGACAUCCUUUGACAACUCUAGAGAUAGAGCCUUCCCCUUCGGGGGACAAAGUGACAGGUGGUGCAUGGUUGUCGUCAGCUCGUGUCGUGAGAUGUUGGGUUAAGUCCCGCAACGAGCGCAACCCUUAAGCUUAGUUGCCAUCAUUAAGUUGGGCACUCUAAGUUGACUGCCGGUGACAAACCGGAGGAAGGUGGGGAUGACGUCAAAUCAUCAUGCCCCUUAUGAUUUGGGCUACACACGUGCUACAAUGGACAAUACAAAGGGCAGCGAAACCGCGAGGUCAAGCAAAUCCCAUAAAGUUGUUCUCAGUUCGGAUUGUAGUCUGCAACUCGACUACAUGAAGCUGGAAUCGCUAGUAAUCGUAGAUCAGCAUGCUACGGUGAAUACGUUCCCGGGUCU
rnacentral:rRNA from 1 species